AUUGAACGCUGGCGGCAUGCCUAACACAUGCAAGUCGAACGGCAGCACGGGAGCUUGCUCCUGGUGGCGAGUGGCGGACGGGUGAGUAAUGCAUAGGAAUCUGCCCAGUAGCGGGGGACAACUUGGGGAAACUCAAGCUAAUACCGCAUGCGCCCUACGGGGGAAAGCGGGGGACCUUCGGGCCUCGCACUAUUGGAUGAGCCUAUGUCAGAUUAGCUUGUUGGUGGGGUAACGGCCUACCAAGGCGACGAUCUGUAGCUGGUCUGAGAGGACGAUCAGCCACACUGGGACUGAGACACGGCCCAGACUCCUACGGGAGGCAGCAGUGGGGAAUAUUGCACAAUGGGCGAAAGCCUGAUGCAGCAAUGCCGCGUGUGUGAAGAAGGCCUGCGGGUUGUAAAGCACUUUCAGUAGGGAGGAAACAGUAGUCGGUUAAUAUCCGGUUGCCUUGACGUUACUACAGAAGAAGCACCGGCUAACU
rnacentral:rRNA from 1 species